CCUACGGGAGGCAGCAGUGAGGAAUAUUGGUCAAUGGGAGAGAUCCUGAACCAGCCAAGCCGCGUGAGGGAAGACGGCCCUAUGGGUUGUAAACCUCUUUUGUCGGAGAACAAAACCCGGGACGUGUCCCGGACUGCGUGUAUCCGAAGAAAAAGCAUCGGCUAACUCCGUGCCAGCAGCCGCGGUAAUACGGAGGAUGCGAGCGUUAUCCGGAUUUAUUGGGGUUAAAGGGUGCGUAGGCGGUCCGUUAAGUCCGCGGGAAAAUUGCGGGGCUCAACCCCGUCGAGCCGUUGAAACUGGCAGACUUGAGUUGGCGAGAAGUACGCGGAAUGCGCGGUGUAGCGGUGAAAUGCAUAGAUAUCGCGCAGAACUCCGAUUGCGAAGGCAGCGUACCGGCGCCAGACUGACGCUGAGGCACGAAAGCGUGGGGAUCGAACAGGAUUAGAUACCCAGUAGUC
rnacentral:rRNA from 1 species